UUGGCUACUGAUAGAACCCCCAACCUGCAGUACCAGUGGAAGCUCUUUUGAAUUGAUAAACAAUGAAAAAUCAAAGUAAAUUCUUAUUGGAAGAGUAAAUGAACAGAAUUGGUAACAAAUCCCAGGCUAUUCGAGAGGCCUAGUCUCUCCCCCUUGACUCAACAUACACGUGAAUGAAUAAUUCCUAACCCCCAACUCUCCAUUUAUAAGCAAUUCUUACUUGACUUAUUACAUUUUUGAUCCUACUAACUAACUAUCGAACCUUCUGGAUUAACAAAGAUGUGGCAGCAACCAUGUGAAUCGGUUUGGCAUCUAUCAUUACCCGUCGCUUCAAAAUCCACCUUGUCCUCAAGGUGGAGGCUGUUGAAUUCAUCAUACAAUCACACAAUUUCCUUUGUAAGAGCUCCAGUCUUGAUCACCGCGAAGAAGGGGCGUUUCAGCCUUUUGAAGUGACCGAACUUAUAUAAUCGAGCAACUCGCUCAAGUAUAGUAUCCGAGGCAACUCCAUAGCCUGUCGACCCUACCCAUAAAUUGUCCGAUUUUUUAACCUACCUCAUCGAAAUGAGUGUGUAGUUGAUCGCACCUCCUUUCUUCCCUUUCCAUUGGAGCUCAACAUCUGUAAGCUUUUUAGAUUCUGACACCCCCUUGUUAGUUGUUACCCACCAGAGCACUGUGAUGGCAGUCGAUCUAGGAAUGUACGUGACUUCAUUGGAAACAUGGAAUGCACUGAAAUGGUCAAGGGAACUUGAGCUAUAGGAAUUAAUUUUUUAAGAUGGGCCAUAAUUGAAAUGGGCUUGUUUCUUUUCUUUAUUCCUGACUUCAAUACGUUGGGCCAAUUCCUUAAAAUGGUCAAGUCCCUUAGAGUUAACAAUAUGGACCUCAGCCCAUUUAAAAGGCUUCAACCCCUGACGACAUUGCCUUUUAUCACCUCUUCAGGGACCGUCGGAAGUGGCACAGCCCAGAUCUCAAUAUGCUGCUGAUACUCUCUUUUAGUGGUUUCUUGUUUCAAUGCCAUAAACAUUUCCAGAUCUGCCCCUUCCUGCGAUGGGCGAACCCUCUUUAAUAGCGACGUCUUCAGAUUAUUCCCAUUCUUCAGUGGUUGUUGAUUGUUUGUUGAUUCUCCUUCCGCUGAUAAUAGGCCAGUGCUUUUCCUUCACAACAAAUAGCUGCGACCUCCAAUUUCUCCCAAUCAUAAAUUUGAUUCAAUUUGAAAAUUCUUUGCGAUCUACUUUUCCAACUGUCGAAAUUCUCAACGUCAAACCCCGACAUGCUCCGUAUCUCAGCCUUCCUAGGUUUAUCCCAGUGGUUCAAGCCUCCAUUUUAUGCACCAACUUCCUCCAAUUUUGGGAAAAUUUUAGAGGUGCUAGUGAGUUUCAGCCCCUUGAUGAGGAUAUGCUCCCGUACUUUGCUUGCGAUCGCCGGCGUUGGUGACGGUAAGGUUUUAAUUGAACUCCUGUCUUCCACGAUGGUGGAUUCUGGUGAGGAGGCUACUCGUGUACUCACCCCUGUUUUGUUGGUUUUGUUUGAAGUUUCCAGAGCAUUUCUAGUUCGAUUAAAUGUCUCCUUCUUAUCACGCUCUAGUCCAUCCCAUUUCUGCAUCAACAAAUCAAUUUUCUCCAUCCAUCGUGACAUACCCAUUUGAAUCUCAAAUUUCAUUGCCUCGAACUCUGAUUGCUGUCCAUCCAUCCUUAUUUCCAAAUUAUUAACCCGAUCUUCCAAUUUCUUUUCUUCAUCAAAUGUAGUAUCCCAAGCCAGAAUGGUUGCUCUGAUACCAUUUUGAUAGAACCCCCAACCUGCAGUACCAGUGGAAGCUCUUUUGAAUUGAUAAACAAUGAAAAAUCAAAGUAAAUUCUUAUUGGAAGAGUAAAUGAACAGAAUUGGUAACAAAUCCUAGGCUAUUCGAGAGGCCUAGUUUCUCCCCCUUGACUCAACAUGCACGUGAAUGAAUAAUUCCUAACCCCCAACUCUCCAUUUAUAAGCAAUCCCUACUUGACUUAUUACAUUUUUGACCCUACUAACUAACUAUCGAACCUUCUAGAUUAACAAAGAUGUGGCAGCAACCAUGUGAAUCAGUUUGGCAUCUAUCAGCUACAC
rnacentral:lncRNA from 1 species